rnacentral:rRNA from 1 species
CAUGCAAGUCGAACGGUAACAGGGGCUUCGGCCCGCUGACGAGUGGCGGACGGGUGAGUAACGCGUAGGAAUCUACCUAGUAGUGGGGGAUAGCCCGGGGAAACCCGGAUUAAUACCGCAUACGCCCUACGGGGGAAAGCAGGGGCUCCUUUGGACCUUGCGCUAUUGGAUGAGCCUACGUCUGAUUAGCUUGUUGGUAGGGUAAUGGCCUACCAAGGCGACGAUCAGUAGCUGGUCUGAGAGGACGAUCAGCCACACUGGGACUGAGACACGGCCCAGACUCCUACGGGAGGCAGCAGUGGGGAAUAUUGGACAAUGGGCGAAAGCCUGAUCCAGCAAUGCCGCGUGUGUGAAGAAGGCCUGCGGGUUGUAAAGCACUUUCAGCAGGGAAGAAGAGUCUUGAGGCUAAUAUCCUCAAGGCUUGACGUUACCUGCAGAAGAAGCACCGGCUAACUCCGUGCCAGCAGCCGCGGUAAUACGGAGGGUGCCAGCGUUAAUCGGAAUUACUGGGCGUAAAGCGCGCGUAGGCGGUUUAGCAAGUCGGAUGUGAAAGCCCCGGGCUUAACCUGGGAAUUGCAUUCGAGACUGCUUGGCUAGAGUUUGGUAGAGGAAAGCGGAAUUCCGGGUGUAGCGGUGAAAUGCGUAGAUAUCCGGAGGAACAUCAGUGGCGAANGCGGCUUUCUGGGCNAAAACUGACGCUGA